GAUGAACGCUGGCGGCGUGCCUAAUACAUGCAAGUCGAGCGAACGGACGAGAAGCUUGCUUCUCUGAUGUUAGCGGCGGACGGGUGAGUAACACGUGGAUAACCUACCUAUAAGACUGGGAUAACUUCGGGAAACCGGAGCUAAUACCGGAUAAUAUUUUGAACCGCAUGGUUCAAUAGUGAAAGACGGUCUUGCUGUCACUUAUAGAUGGAUCCGCGCUGCAUUAGCUAGUUGGUAAGGUAACGGCUUACCAAGGCAACGAUGCAUAGCCGACCUGAGAGAGUGAUCGGCCACACGGGAACGGAGACACGGUCCAGACUCCUACGGGAGGGAGCAGUAGGGAAUCUUCCGCAGUGGGCGAAAGCCUGACGGAGCAACGCCGCGUGAGUGAUGAAGGUCUUCGGAUCGUAAAACUCUGUUAUUAGGGAAGAACAUAUGUGUAAGUAACUGUGCACAUCUUGACGGUACCUAAUCAGAAAGCCACGGCUAACUACGUG
rnacentral:rRNA from 1 species